AUUGAACGCUGGCGGCAUGCUUUACACAUGCAAGUCGAACGGUAACAGGCCGCAAGGUGCUGACGAGUGGCGAACGGGUGAGUAAUGCAUCGGAACGUGCCCAGUCGUGGGGGAUAACGCAGCGAAAGCUGCGCUAAUACCGCAUACGAUCUAUGGAUGAAAGCGGGGGACCGUAAGGCCUCGCGCGGUUGGAGCGGCCGAUGUCAGAUUAGGUAGUUGGUGGGGUAAAGGCUCACCAAGCCAACGAUCUGUAGCUGGUCUGAGAGGACGACCAGCCAGACUGGGACUGAGACACGGCCCAGACUCCUACGGGAGGCAGCAGUGGGGAAUUUUGGACAAUGAGCGCAAGCCUGAUCCAGCAAUGCCGCGUGCAGGAAGAAGGCCUUCGGGUUGUAAACUGCUUUUGUACGGAACGAAACGGUCCUGGUUAAUACCCGGGGCUAAUGACGGUACCGUAAGAAUAAGCACCGGCUAACUACGUGCCAGCAGCCGCAGUAAGAC
rnacentral:rRNA from 1 species